rnacentral:rRNA from 1 species
UACGUAGGUUGCGAGCGUUAUUCGGAUUCACUGGGCGUAAAGGGUGCGCAGGCGGCCGUGUGUGUAAGGUGUGAAAUCCCGAGGCUCAACCUCGGAACUGCGCCUUAAACUACAUGGCUAGAGUAUUGGAGAGGGUAACGGAAUUCACGGUGUAGCAGUGAAAUGCGUAGAUAUCGUGAGGAACACCAGAGGCGAAGGCGGUUACCUGGACAAUUACUGACGCUCAGGCACGAAAGCAUGGGGAGCAAAAGGG